UGGUGGGUAGUUUGACUGGGGCGGUCUCCUCCUAAAGAGUAACGGAGGAGCACGAAGGUUGGCUAAUCCUGGUCGGACAUCAGGAGGUUAGUGCAAUGGCAUAAGCCAGCUUGACUGCGAGCGUGACGGCGCGAGCAGGUGCGAAAGCAGGUCAUAGUGAUCCGGUGGUUCUGAAUGGAAGGGCCAUCGCUCAACGGAUAAAAGGUACUCCGGGGAUAACAGGCUGAUACCGCCCAAGAGUUCAUAUCGACGGCGGUGUUUGGCACCUCGAUGUCGGCUCAUCACAUCCUGGGGCUGAAGUAGGUCCCAAGGGUAUGGCUGUUCGCCAUUUAAAGUGGUACGCGAGCUGGGUUUAGAACGUCGUGAGACAGUUCGGUCCCUAUCUGCCGUGGGCGCUGGAGAACUGAGGGGGGCUGCUCCUAGUACGAGAGGACCGGAGUGGACGCAUCACUGGUGUUCGGGUUGUCAUGCCAAUGGCACUGCCCGGUAGCUAAAUGCGGAAGAGAUAAGUGCUGAAAGCAUCUAAGCACGAAACUUGCCCCGAGAUGAGUUCUCCCUGAGACUUUAGGUCUCCUGAAGGAACGUUGAAGACGACGACGUUGAUAGGCCGGGUGUGUAAGCGCAGCGAUGCGUUGAGCUAACCGGUACUAAUGAACCGUGAGG
rnacentral:rRNA from 1 species